GCAGACUUCUCCUUCUCCAUCACUCUCGCUUUACACAUCGCCUUGAACGCCGUGAGACUGCAUAAGAAAACCUGUGAUAGAGCUGGACACUGUACUCGAGGCGACUUCAAGAAAUGUCAUUGCUGUGUGUUGGAGUAAAGAAAGGCAAGCUUGAUGGACCCCAAGAGAAAUUUAACACAUACGUGACUCUCAAGGUACAGAAUGUUAAAAGCACGACCAUCGCUGUGCGUGGCAGUCAGCCAUGCUGGGAGCAGGACUUCAUGUUUGAAAUAAACCGACUAGAUCUGGGCCUAACAGUGGAGGUUUGGAAUAAGGGGCUGAUCUGGGACACCAUGGUUGGCACCUUAUGGAUACCACUGAGCAGCAUACGGCAGUCUAAUGAGGAGGGUCCAGGCCAGUGGCUCACCCUGGACUCCAACGUUAUCAUGGCUGAGAAUGAGAUUUGCGGAACCAAAGACCCAACUUUUCACAGACUGCUGCUCGACACCCGCUUCGAACUGCCUCUAGACAUUCCUGAAGAAGAGGCCCGAUACUGGGCCAAGAAACUUGAACAGCUUAACGCCAUGAGAGAUCAAGAUUAUGCCAAUCAAGAAGAACACGAACAACCUCUACAAGCGCCUUCCAAUCAGUGCUGUAACUGGAAUCUGUGGGGAGAUCAACAAAAUGAGGAUCCAGACAGCGCUGUGGAUGACAGGGACAGUGACUACCGCAGUGAGACCAGUAACAGCAUCCCGCCCCCGUACUACACCACCUCUCAGCCCAACGCCUCCAUGCACCAGUACCCCAUGAGAAACCAGCAGUACAGACACUCCUACAGUGAUGAAAUCCAUGAUCUUGAUUACGAUCACAGAGCCAUGAGACGCUAUUAUAGUUUAGACUCGGCCACCAACGGGCGCAGUGAUAUCGACUCAGCCUCAGGGUCGAGCCAGCACACCAGUCGUCAGUAUUCUCUAGACAGUAGGCACUCACUGUCCAAUAGUCCCACAGACAGUCGCUACGCCUCAUCGGGCGAGUUGAGUCGAGGCAGCUCCCAACUCAGCGAGGAGUUUGUACCGGAGGAUGGCGAGAGUUUGCGGGGCUCAGAGUUUUACGAAGAAAACGACUCCUACCACUCCUGCCACUCCUCUGUCAGCUAUGGGAAAGAGGAUUCUCCACGCUGGGACGGCGAAGACCACCAGAGUGUCUACAGCGACGACGAAGGCUAUCUCAAAGAUGGAGAAAGGGAGGGCACGCUGUAUGAUGAAGAAGGAGACAUGUACAGAGAGGAUGGGGAUUUUAACUACGAAGACGAGGAAAAGAUUCCAUAUGAGGGAGAAGAAGUUCCGUAUCCCCGUGACAGCACCCUUGGUGAACUCCAGGAACCGUCCUACAGCCCCGCGAGCACCGCUGCCUCUCUGAUGCCACCCUCUGAUGGUCAGUCCAGCAGGCCACCUCUGGAGAAGCAGACCUCGUUACAUCAACCACACCCGGCCACUGAUCAGCUCCAGCCCCAGACCAGUGCCGCGGGUCCACCUCCCGCCUCACAGAGUGACUCGUUACCCGCCUUCACUUCAGACUCCAACAAAUCCAACUUUGCACUAUUACAGCCCGACAUCACCACGACCUCCACUCCUAAUUGUACAGCAGCAGCCGUCUCUAAGACCCCCGAGUUUCAGCACCAAACCGAGUCAACGCCGCAGGAACCUAAGCCCCCAAAACAGAUGGCAGUGGCAGAAAGGGUGUCUCCACCUGCGGAGGAGAAAACAGUGGAGCCUCCUCCUCCAUGCUUUCCAAAGAGAGAAGUCAUGGAGCCCGGUCCUGCCAGAGCCAAAGCCAACUGGCUCAGACUUUUUAGCAAAGUGCGACUUCAGCUACAAGAGGCCCGAGGAGAAAGUGUCGGCAUUGCCUCUCUUCUUUUAUCGGCGGGAAUGGGCGGUGCACUCUAUAGCAUUGACAGCAUGCCCGACCUGAGGAAGAGGAAGGCUAUGCCUCUGGUCAGCGACCUGGCAAUGUCUUUGGUCCAGAACUCCAGGAAAGCUGGCAUCACCUCAGCCCUGACAUCCAGCACCCUCCAUAAUGAAGAACUGAAGAGUCAUGUCUAUAAGAAGACCCUGCAGGCACUCAUCUAUCCCAUCUCCUGCACCACUCCACAUAACUUUGAGGUGUGGACGGCCACCACCCCCACCUACUGCUACGAGUGUGAGGGACUCCUGUGGGGCAUCGCCAGGCAGGGCAUGCGCUGCACGGAGUGUGGCGUCAAAUGCCAUGAAAAAUGUCAAGACUUACUCAACGCAGACUGUUUGCAAAGGGCAGCCGAGAAGAGUUCUAAACAUGGAGCGGAGGACCGAACCCAGAACAUUAUCAUGGUGCUUAAGGACCGCAUGAAGAUACGUGAGAGGAACAAACCAGAAAUAUUUGAACUGAUCCAAGAAGUGUUUGCCGUCCCAAAGUCGACCCACGUCACCCACAUGAAGCAGAUCAAACAGAGCGUGCUCGAUGGCACUUCCAAAUGGUCGGCGAAGAUCAGCAUCACAGUCUUGUGUGCCCAGGGUCUGCAAGCCAAGGACAAAACAGGCUCGAGUGACCCAUACGUCACUGUCCAGGUGGGAAAGACCAAAAAGAGAACAAAGACCAUCUACGGAAACCUCAACCCAGUCUGGGAGGAGACAUUUAAUUUUGAGUGCCACAACUCCUCCGAUCGCAUCAAGGUGCGGGUCUGGGAUGAGGACGAUGACAUUAAGUCCCGGGUAAAGCAGAAAUUCAAGAGAGAGUCUGACGACUUCCUCGGUCAGACCAUCAUUGAGGUCCGUACCCUGAGUGGAGAGAUGGACGUCUGGUACAAUCUGGACAAACGCACAGACAAAUCAGCUGUAUCCGGGGCUAUACGCAUGCACAUAAAUGUAGAGAUCAAAGGAGAAGAGACCGUUGCCCCGUAUCAUGUUCAGUACACUUGUUUACAUGAGAACCUCUUUCACUAUGUGACGGACAUCCAGAACAAUGGCGUAGUUAAAAUUCCCGAUGCUAAAGGGGAUGACGCAUGGAAAGUUUACUUUGAGGAGACUCCACAGGAGAUUGUUGAUGAGUUUGCCAUGCGCUACGGAGUGGAGUCCAUCUACCAGGCCAUGACCCACUUUGCCUGUCUGUCGUCUAAGUACAUGUGCCCGGGUGUACCUGCAGUAAUGAGCACCCUGCUGGCCAACAUUAAUGCCUACUAUGCCCACACCACCCAGGCUACCAACAACGUUUCUGCCUCUGAUCGAUUUGCUGCAUCUAACUUUGGGAAAGAGAGAUUCGUCAAACUUUUAGAUCAGCUGCACAACUCUCUGCGCAUCGACCUGUCCAUGUACCGGAACAACUUUCCAGCCAGUAGUUCUGAGAGGCUACAGGAUCUGAAAUCCACAGUGGACCUCCUGACCAGUAUCACCUUCUUUAGGAUGAAGGUCCAAGAACUCCAGUCUCCACCUAGAGCCAGUCAGGUGGUGAAGGACUGUGUCAAAGCCUGUCUCAACUCCACCUACGAGUACAUCUUUAAUAACUGCCAUGAAUUAUACAGCCGGGAAUAUCAGACAGACCCGGCAAAACAGGGUGCGGUGCCUCCAGAGGAGCAAGGGCCAAGCAUCAAGAAUCUGGACUUCUGGUCCAAACUGAUCACUCUUAUUGUCUCCAUCAUUGAAGAGGACAAGAACUCCUACACUCCCUGUCUUAACCAAUUUCCACAGGAGCUGAACGUGGGUAAAAUAAGCGCAGAGGUGAUGUGGAAUCUGUUUGCUCAGGAUAUGAAAUAUGCAAUGGAGGAGCAUGAAAAAAACCGCUUGUGCAAGAGUGCCGAUUACAUGAACCUGCACUUCAAGGUCAAGUGGCUGUACAAUGAGUAUUGCAAGGACUUACCGUUCUUUAAGAGCAGAGUGCCUGAAUAUCCAGCGUGGUUUGAGCCAUUCGUCAUUCAAUGGCUGGAUGAAAAUGAAGAAGUGUCUCGAGACUUUCUGCACGGUGCUUUGGAAAGAGACAAAAAAGACGGGUUCCAAGUCACAUCUGAACACGCUCUGUUCUCCUGCUCGGUGGUGGAUGUGUUCUCUCAGCUCAACCAGAGCUUUGAGAUCAUCCGCAAGCUGGAGUGUCCGGAUCCACAAAUUGUGGGACACUACAUGAAGCGCUUUGCUAAGACCAUCAGCAAUGUGCUCUUGUCCUACGCCGAUAUCAUCUCCAGGUUAUUCGCCAACUACGUCUCUAUGGAGAAAGUGCCCUGCAUCCUGAUCAACAACAUCCAACAGCUGAGAGUUCAGCUUGAGAAAAUGUUUGAAGCCAUGGGUGGAAAAGACUUGUGUGUGGAGGCCAGUGACAUCCUGAAGGAUCUGCAGGUUAAACUCAACAAUGUAAUGGAUGAUCUCAGCAGGGUCUUCUCCGUCAGUUUCCAGCCUCACAUUGAGGAGAAUGUGAAGCAGAUGGGAGACAUCUUGGCUCAGGUUAAAGGAACCACAAAUGUGGGAAAUGCCAGCAGCGUGGCACAGGACGCCGACAACGUCUUGCAGCCAAUUAUGGAGUUCUUGGACAGCAACCUGACGCUGUUUGCUAAGAUCUGUGAGAAGACUGUUCUGAAACGCGUGUUGAAGGAGCUGUGGAAGCUAGUGAUGAACACCAUGGAAAAGACGAUCGUGCUGCCACCGCUCACAGACCAAACGAUGAUUGGGAGACUGAAGAGUGCUUCUCACAGUGAUGGCACUCAGCUCAUCUUUAAUGCUGCAAAGGAGCUGGGGCAGCUGUCCAAGCUGAAGGAACACAUGGUUCGUGAAGAAGCUAAAGCUCUCUCACCCAAGCAGUGUGCUGUGAUAGAGCUGGCUCUAGACACCAUUAAGCAAUACUUCCAUGCUGGUGGUGUGGGUCUAAAGAAGACAUUCCUGGAGAAGAGCCCUGACCUCCAGUCCCUGCACUACGCUCUGUCCCUCUACACCCAGGCCACGGACAAACUGAUUAAGACCUUUGUCCAGUCACAGAACGCACAAGGUUCCGGGGCGGACGAUGCUGUGGGAGAGGUUUCCAUCCACGUGGAGAUUUUUACUCAUCCCAACACUGGGGAACACAAGGUCACAGUGAAAGUGGUCGCUGCCAAUGACCUGCGGUGGCAGACGCAGGGUAUAUUCCGUCCUUUUGUGGAGGUCUACAUCAUCGGCCCUCACCUGAGCGACAAAAAGAGGAAAUACGCCACCAAGUCGAAGAACAACAGCUGGGCUCCGAAAUACAACGAAACCUUCACUUUCACUUUGAGCAACGAGGUCGGUCCCGAGUGCUACGAGCUGCAGGUCUGCGUGAAGGACUACUGCUUCGCCAGGGAGGACCGCACGGUGGGCAUGGCCGUGCUGCAGCUCAAGGACGUGGCGGCAAAAGGCAGCGCCGCCUGCUGGCUUCCUCUGGGUUCUGCGUACGAAGGAGAGCUUCAGAGAGUCCGGGAUGACGAGGUUCUCGGCGUGUAAGGGCACGGGAGGAUUGUAAGCGAUGGACAGAAGCUGCUGGUAGGCCUGGAUGCAAAGGUCACUCAGGAUGCGGAUGCUGUUGCUGUGGUCAGUGGUCAGAGGAACCACACCGUCCGGGUCAGAGGCCUGAGGAGCGAUAAUGAAUUCAUGCAGCUUCACGUACCAUCAAUCCAUCGCGUCGUCGCUCGUUACAGGAAAUUAAUGAUAAUCAAUGAUUGUCUUGCCUGUUUCACGGAGCGCUGGAUCAACUGGUCACGCAGCACACAGGCGUUUUUCAGCCACAGAGCCGUCACGUCUAAGUUGUUGGUGGAUUUCUGCAGCAACGGAGAAAGAAAAUGACAUUUUUUCACUACACAGACUCGGUGAGAUAAAAACAACGGCGUAAAAUUCCCCAGAAUAUACCGCAAGAAUUCGAGUACCAUAUUUUCCAGGCAACAGGUUGAACUUUUGUUUGCAUCUUUUGGCUGGGUUUGCGACGUAUACAUUAAAAUAUGUCAUUUCACGUUUGUUAUUUUCACAGGGAUAGCCGCUAGAGGGCACUCUUAUACUCCGGAGCAAGCGAUAUUCCGGAAAAUACGGUACAUGUUUUUGAACAAUUUGAAAGGACAACAGUCGCACGGAUUCCGGCUGUAUUGUUGGAAUGCACCGUACGGUGCGAGGGCCACGGUUACCUUCAGAGCCGUUUUCAUCGCAGACAUGGCAGAGCAACUGAGCCUGACUUCGGUCCUCGAUGCCGUCGGCGUAGCGGACACACAGGAAAAUCACACCGGCGGGCAAACCGGGAGGCAGAGCCAGGGCGCAGUCAAUGCGGAUUUCUGGAGCACAGACGGAGACGACAGCGACGGCAGUUGGUUAAAAACGUGCAAACGCGAGCGGGCGGACGAGACCGGGAACCGAGGGCGGCUUCGGACGGGACAAGGACCAGGACGAGGGCGAGGUCAAGGACGAAGUGUCCGGACUGGAAGCUGACACAAGACAACCUCGAUCUGUGUCGGACGUGCACGCGGAGGCGGUGACCUAUAACAUCCCCCUACCAUCGGAAUUUCUAAACCCCACGAGAUGCUCCUCUCCGGCCGAGGAGAGGUCACGGAGACCCUGCGGACCCGCUCCGGGGUAGCGACGGCGGAUCGGAACGGCGGCGGUGAGAGCGAGGUCGGCGAGGGAGAGGGAGGCUCCGAGCUCGGGCUCCGGGCAGAGUCGGUUCUCCCGCGGCCUUUGGAGUUCUGCGGAGAUGCGGAGAAACUUACUCUCGGUCGCAGAGAAAGGGUUUUGGAGCGGAGGAGUUGUGGCCGACCUCUGUGAGCAGACUCACAGAGGUCAACCUCAGAGGUUGUCGUAUCUCUGCUCCAGUCUGGUGAAGUCCCUCAGGAGUCCCUGGUACUUUCGCCUCUCUUCGUCUAACUCUGCCCUCAGAGCGGCAGACGCCCGAGACACGGCCCGAUUUACGUUCUCUGCACACGGAGGAGAUGGGGGAAGAAGUAAUCAAGCAGAGCCCCGGCCGCAUUGACCGCAAAGCGAGAACUUACCUUCUCGUGCGUUUUCUAGCGCAACCGAUCGAGCAGAAAGUUCUUGGUUUUCUUCUUGCAAACGUUCUUUUUCCAUCUUCUGAGACUGCAACUCCUUAGAAUGGAAAAUAUCCUCAAUGAAACAAAAUUGUGUAAUAGUUUAAAAACAAAAACAGAAAAAAGCUGCCUCCCGGGCAGCCUUUUCCUCCGCUCUCCUCCGUUUCUCCUCUUCUUUCUCACCGAUAUCCAAGCGGGGCUGAGGUGUCUUCUCUCUCUGGGUUUCCAGUUUGUGUAUCUUUACCCUCAGAGACUACAGUUCAGCACUGACGGCCUUUCUCUCUGCGUGCAAAGUCUCUGUCAGAGCAGCGUUUUUCCCGGUCUGCACACAAACACAGGUUAAGGUUAACCCUCAACCUUUACGGACCCUGUCGCGCCAUCACGUCUCUCCCUCCGUCCCUCCCUCCCUUCCUCCCUCUCUCACCUCCUGGUCAACUCGUAACUGCAGCUGCAUCAGCUUGACUUCCAUUCCCUUGUUGAGCUCUCUGUAGCGGUCCGCCGAUCGGGCCUCCGUCUUCAGUUUCAGCAGCUCUCUCUUGGCGGCCUUGCGACGCACGCAGCACUGCGCGAAGACCACGGCAGCACAAAGUCUUCCGUACGCCCGCCUCGCCGACCACCCGCGCACCCUCGCCUGGAGCAGCACCGCAGCUCUCUCGGUCACGAGCUGACGGUAAAAGGAAGGGUUUUAGUAGACGUUACGGAUCAAAGGCGUGCGGGGGAAAAUAAGAGAAGGAAGGUCCGGGGCACCCGUCUGUAUCCGCGGCGUGUCAGCGCGCCCCUGGUGAAGGCCUGGAUGGUGACGGGGGCCCGGCGUAUUACGAGGAACAAUCGUCUGACGGACAGCAUGCGGUACGUUUUCUGGAUGACGACGGCAGCCUCGGUGUAACGCAGCGUCAGAGCAAGUGUGCAAGCAAAUGCGCAACUGGAAAACGUAUCGAAUGAACUUUGUGAAGAGUACUGACCAAAUGUUAUGGCUACCUACCGUCUGGCCAGAGUCCCUCUGGUGUAUUUCUGUACGGUGACGACCGCCCCGAGGACUGGUACUGGACAGCCAUCCUCUGACCCUGCUCUGGACGGUCACGGCGGCGCCGCGGAGCUUCUCAGCCUUUCCAGGAUGGCCACCUGACCGGCUUGGAAAAACACUUUGGUUUUCCCGAAGCGGUACUGCUCCCGGUCUGGGAUGAGGUCGGGUAGAUUGUGUCGGCAAGACGUCCGGGCCCCUUUCGCGGCAGAAGGCCCGCGUAGAACAACGCGGUAUCUGACGAAGAACUCCUCGUACGUCCACCUGGGAAGGGGAAAAUAACUACUUUUGUGUUCUGUUACAGCCAAUUCUACAGAAAGUGCGAGACAGUUUUACAGGGCAGCAGAUGGGGUCAGGCAGUGUACGUAACACCGAGUGGCGUAUUAAUAAAAAGGAGUUGUUAGUAAUCAAUUUAAAGUUGGUAAAGACCCAACCUCCUCUGGUUUUAUACCAAAAAGUAAUUGAAUGAAGUGACAAUGCAGUUGAUUUCCUUAAUGAUGUAGUCAUAGUUUAUUUUCACAUAGUGAGGCUUUAAUGCAGUUUAAUGAAGAUGUAGCGAAGCGGUUACGGGGCCUGCCUUACACAUCUUCUUUUCACACAGAAUGUGAAUCUCGGGUUUGAGGCCCGGAGGACACACGUACGUAACGGCGCCUCUGUCGGCAGCCUGCGGGGGUUGCGUGACUUACACUGUGAAUUUGCCCGUUGUGGGUCAAAGAAGGGAGUCGUGUGUUAUAUGUAUGCCACAUUAUAUGUUUUUGUAUACAGCUCAAUACCUGGACGGGUAACCCGCAGCGCUGAUACGCUGGAGACUAUUCGCUGAUACGAAUAGUCUCCAGCACGCCGCAGGCUCUCAGCUGUUGGACUAUUCUCUUGGGGUCAAAUCUGAGGGAGGAAAGGAGGGAGGGGGAGAAGAUGAUUCCCACUGAGUAAGUUAGAGUGACACGUGGCUGCCGGUGAAACGAUGAGUCACAAGAAGGCCUCCUUGAGGUCGUUGGGUUUAAUACAGCGGACGUAGUGCGGAGCGGUGCCGUCGAGGGUGUCCAUCAGCAACUGUAGGGACUGACGGAACUGAAGAGCACAAGCACAAAGAACAGUCUGUAAACCGUCGAGCGAGUAAAACGCGUAGACCGUAGCGGCUCACCUGGAAACCCACGGUCAGUCUGUGUUUCCCGGUGGCUCGUUUUCCCGAGCGAACACUGCCGUCGGCCACGGCGGCGACAUCGUUCUCCCGUGGCUGAAACAGCUCGGCCGCUAGGUCCGACUGAGACACACGCACACGGAGGUUGUCGAUUACGGCGGCUCUCCAGACACGAGGGCGGUCGCAAUGCACUUCACGUACUGUACCUGACUGGCUUUCAGAAUGUUGAUGAGCUCUUCGAAGACCGUGUCGCGGUUUUUGUCUAAGAAGCCUUCGCAUUCGUACCGGACCUGAACAGAUAGAAUAAACGUGUCCUUCUAAACGGGCGAUUCCCAACCGCUGCGCCGUACAUGUUUUGAAAUGAAUGUUGCACCUUUUGUCGACGCGUGGCAGGCAGAACAAUUAAGUACGAUCUUAAAUGAGAUCUUUUUGAGUGUAUUUCUUCAAUUCCUGCGAGUACAUCAGCGGCGCGUUCAACGGAACAGGCCGAGAGGUUAGAGAAUUGCGAGUGUAUUCAAAGUAGAUAUGUCAUUACGUAUAGUUCUUGUCACUUUUAAUGCAGAACAUACGUGACACGGCGCAGAAGCAGUUGGGAAACACUGCCACAGGUAACAGUCACAAAUCUGCAUUUGGGGAGGAAACAGGAACUCACCGUAUCGGCAAAGUGAAGAACGACGAAAGCGGUGUUUGACAUGCGAGGUUUCCGAAAGUAGGGGCACGCUCGGUCGCGGAGGUGUCGGUCGUACAAUUUCUGCACCCAGCUCUCGUCCGAGCCAUUGGGCAUCUGGUCGUAUGCAGAUAUUGGCAGCACAGUGUGUGAAAUUGUGUUAAAGAGGAGUCGGUGAUGACAUGCUGUUGUUUUGUAAUAAAAAUGAGACAAACGGACCCUGCAUUCUUCAUCCAACAGAUCCAACAGUCCCAGUCGGCCUUCUAUGAGGUCGAUACACGGCAGGUUGUCGCUAAAGCGAAUCCUGCUCCAGGGCAGUUCCUCUCGGAUGUACUCCUCCUGCUUCAGGUGGAACACGUGCUGAAGAGAAACAGAAAGGGGUGAGCUUUAAAACGAAAAUGUGGGUUUGUACAUGUCAUUGUCAUUGUAGAUGCGGUCGCCUUUGUAAUGUUAUUGUAAAGCCGUUGGGCUUUGUAAUGUCGUCGUGAGUUUGCUCGCCUUUGCGGUAAACUUGGGGGUGGGGGGGCUAGUGGACCGACCCGACUCCGCGGUUGCCAGAUGUUGUUAGCCACAGGAUGGGUUAAGGUUUGUCGUAGCAUAAAAGUGAAGGAGAUUUGCAGUUGGACAGUUUGUCCCCUCUUGUCAUGUGUUGGCAGAUGUUGGAGCGGAAGUCGUGAAGCGUGACACGUGUGCACGGGUUUGUCCUUGUGCGGUACGUGAAGGUGUGAUCCAUUCUUUUUCUCUCUGUCUCUUUCUCUGUCUCUGUUUCUUUUUUCUCUGUUUCUCUCUCUGUCUCUGUUUCUUUUUCUCUCUGUCUUAGUUUUUCUUUCUGUGUCUCUGUUUCUUGUUCUCUC